rnacentral:lncRNA from 1 species
GUGUGAAAGGCAUGAUGCAGGUUUCAAGAUAAUGAGGACAUUCUUACAGUUCAUCGAGUCAGGCAGGAAAUAUAUAGAAAAAUAUUUAAUAUCUUAAUACAUGCAGCUCAGCUUUAAAACUGCACUCCAGACUUUGCGUUUUAACCGAAUUUUGAGGUUUUCGGGGAGAAAAAACCUCAUAGGAGACUACGAUCCCCACUCACGGACAUGAGCAGAUUGGCUUGAAAACCGCACACUCGCGUGUGAAAGGCAGUCCAAUUUCUCCCGCCAUGCGACCAGACCUUGUCUGCCAUCUUUGGGUGUUGAGAAAAUACGCACUUUAAAAAUUGUACGCAUUUCGCGUUGAUACACGUUGCUUGUACAGGCGCUCAACCGGAACCCGUGGAGCAAACGGUUUCCGCGACGAACUUUGGUUGCAGUAACAUGUUAUGUUGGAAAUUAUCAUUAAAAAAUCGAAAUGAAUGACGUCACCAUUACUCCGUCGACUGAUUUUAUGUCGUCAUUAUAAAAUCGGUAUCGGGUAGAAUGUUACACGAAUAAUCGGUAAUUUCCGCGGAUUGCGGCACAAUCUGUCAAUCACUAACUUCAAUUGUAGUACAUGCAGUACAACAGUAGUAGUUAUGG